rnacentral:rRNA from 1 species
UACAUGGGGUGCAAACGUUGCUCGGAAUUAUUGGGCGUAAAGCGCGCGUAGGCGGUUACUUAAGUCGGAUGUGAAAGCCCUCGGCUUAACUGAGGAAGUGCACCCGAAACUGAGUAGCUAGAGUACGAAAGAGGGUCGCGGAAUUCCCGGUGUAGAGGUGAAAUUCGUAGAUAUCGGGAGGAACACCAGUGGCGAAGGCGGCUACCUGGACCGGUUCUGACGCUGAGGCGCGAAAGCGUGGGUAGCAAACAGG